CGCUGACCCGCCCCGCCCCGCCCCGCCCCGCAGAGACAAGAUUGUGAAGGAGACCGAGUAUUAUGACAUCCUGGGGGUGAAGCCCAGCGCCUCCCCAGAGGAGAUCAAGAAGGCCUAUCGCAAGCUGGCGCUCAAGUACCACCCGGACAAGAACCCGGAUGAGGGCGAGAAGUUUAAACUUAUAUCCCAGGCAUAUGAAGUGCUUUCAGAUCCCAAGAAAAGGGACAUUUAUGACCAGGGCAGAGAACAGGCAAUUAAAGAAGGACGCUCAGGUGGCCCCAGCUUCUCUUCACCCAUGGAAAUCUUUGACAUGUUCUUUGGUGGUGGAGGACAGAUGGCCAGAGAGAGAAGAGGCAAGAAUGUUGUACAUCAGUUGUCUGUAACUCUUGAAGACUUAUAUAAUGGAGUCACAAAGAAAUUGGCCCUCCAGAAAAAUGUAAUUUGUGAGAAAUGUGAAGGCAUUGGUGGGAAGAAGGGGUCCGUGGAAAAGUGCCCGCUGUGCAAGGGGCGGGGGAUGCAGAUCCACAUCCAGCAGAUCGGACCGGACAUGGUGCAGCAGAUCCAGACUGUGUGCGUCGAGUGCAAGGGCCAGGGAGAGCGCAUCAACCCCAAAGACCGCUGUGAGAGCUGCAGCGGUGCCAAGGUGAUCUGCAAGAAGAAGAUUAUCGAGGUACAUGUUGAAAAAGGUAUGAAAGAUGGGCAGAAGAUACUGUUCCAUGCAGAAGGAGAUCAGGAACCUGAGCUGGAGCCCGAUGAUGUCAUAAUUGUGCUUGAUCAGAAGGAUCAUAGUGUCUUUCAGAGACGAGGCCAUGACUUAAUCAUGAAAAUGAAAAUUCAUCUUUCUGAAGCUCUUUGUGGCUUUAAGAAGACAGUAAAAACCCUGGAUGAUCGAAUUCUUGUUAUUACAUCCAAAUCAGGUGAGAUAAUAAAGCAUGGGGACCUGAAGUGUGUGCAAAACGAAGGAAUGCCCAUCUACGAAGCACCCCUGGAAAAAGGGACUCUGAUCAUACAAUUUUUGGUAAUCUUUCCUGAAAAACACUGGCUUUCUCCAGAAAAGAUUCCUCAGCUGGAAGCUCUGCUCCCUCCUCGACAGAAAGUGAAGAUUACAGAUGACAUGGAUCAGGUGGAGCUGAAGGAGUUUAAUCCCAGUGAGCAGAACUGGUGCCAGCAUGGGGAGGCCUACGAGGAGGAUGAUGACGGGCCCUGGGCCAGAGUGCAGUGCCAGACGGCAUGACAUGGCAGUCAGCGCAGCCCUGCCGGACUAGCACAUGAUGAAUGUAAAGUUGGCACAAUGAAAAUGGCAUUGCUUUAAUGGCCUCGUGUUUGGGGUGUCCUGUGUAUGUAUUCAGCAUUC